UAGGGAAUCUUCGGCAAUGGGGGGAACCCUGACCGAGCAACGCCGCGUGAGUGAAGAAGGUUUUCGGAUCGUAAAGCUCUGUUGUUAAGGAAGAACGAGUGUGAGAAUGGAAAGUUCAUACUGUGACGGUACUUAACCAGAAAGGGACGGCUAACUACGUGCCAGCAGCCGCGGUAAUACGUAGGUCCCGAGCGUUGUCCGGAUUUAUUGGGCGUAAAGCGAGCGCAGGCGGUUAGAUAAGUCUGAAGGUAAAGGCAGUGGCUCAACCAUUGUAGGCUUUGGAAACUGUUUAACUUGAGUGCAGAAGGGGAGAGUGGAAUUCCAUGUGUAGCGGUGAAAUGAGUAGAUAUAUGGAGGAACACCGGUGGCGAAAGCAGCUCUCUGGUCUGUAACUGACGCUGAGGCUCGAAAGCGUGGGGAGCGAACAGG
rnacentral:rRNA from 1 species